CUUUCUACACAGGUUGGGAUCAGUUGCAAUGCUGUGUUUCUGUGUGGUAUUGCACUUGUCCCGGCCUGUUGAGUUUGG
rfam:Dipodomys ordii contig_41310, whole genome shotgun sequence.